UUGGCAGAGAGAUCUUCUACAACCAACAGAGACUAGAAAAGCCCCGACUGCAUCUCUGGAGAAACCCACAGAACCACCCUAUUCAGGAAAAAUCCAAAAAUGAGACUUCUAUCAUUUAAAAGAAAUAGGUCUCCAGUUACACGACCCCUCUCGGGAGACCUUAUCCCUUUCUCCAUGCUUUGUUUGUUUGUGUUUCUGUUUUGGUUUGUCUGAGACAAUGUUUCACUCUAGCCAAGGCUGGCCCGGAACUUGCAGCUAUCCUCCUGCCUCAUCCUCCUGCCUCAUCCUCCUUAAACGCUGAGAUUAUGAGCAUGAAGUACCCUGUUUCACUAAGACCUUUUCUUUUUCACUUUGCUUCUGCAUCUCCCUUUGUCCUGAAGGAUCCUGGGAUCAGUAUGGGCGCAGCGGCGUAGAAAGGCAAGGUUGAGAAGAGGAAAGCCAGAUGCUACACUCCCUUUCUCCCUGAAGGUUUCUGAACUAAGCCAGCCCUAACCUCUGGCUAUAAACAAGAGGCACACAGAGAGCUGCAUUCUCCAGGCUGGAGAGAAACAACCAAAGAACUUUCCAUUUGCUCCAUGAAGAAAAGCGAGGCCUGCAUUGCCAUCACGCCAGGCUCCAAACUAUCAGUUUGAAUGUUUGUAUCCCUCCAAAAUUCAUGUGGAAACUUAAUCUCCAGUGGAACACACUACGAGGCAAGGCCUUGAGGAGUCGACUAGGUCCUGAAGGAUCUUCCAUCCUGAAUGGGAUGAAGGUCCUCAAAAUGAAGGUCAAGAGAACACCGAACUUCUGCUUUGGCAUCUUGCACCAAGUGAAGGUACAAUGUUCAAUGCACCACUUUGGAGUCAGAAACUAGAGACCAAAUACAUCUUGAUUUUGAAAUUACAGCCUCUGUCUUAGAUAGGUUUCUAUUGCGAGAAGUGAUACCGUGACCACGGAAACUCUUAUAAGGAAGCAUUUCACUGAGGGGGCUCCCUUAGAGUGUCACAAGCUGAUGUGAUGCUGGAGAAGCAGCUGAGAGUCCUACAUCUGGCAGGCAACAGGAAGUGG